ensembl:lncRNA
GUUCUGCAGUAAUAAUAAUAUAAAGAAAACAAGAGCAACAGGUGCACAAACACCUCAUAGCAUCAGUAUCAUGACAACCCUACAUAGUACGUUUUCCUCAUUGUUUGUAAUAUCUGCACAAAGGAGACAUCGAUCAGCUGCUCAAAGAUCUUGCCUUUGGAGAAGACUGUUGAUUUUACAUUUGAAAAAUUGAACUGGUCAGCAGAAGGUUGCUGGAUCGAUCUCCGCAGUCAUCACAACCGGUGUCUUUACUCCAGGUUGCUGCAGGGGGUUUGGGGUCCCUGUAAUAAGAGCACUAUGCUCUAGCUGACUCUGGGGUCACUGAAGAUGAAGAGGCCACACAUCCGGCCCAGAUGAGGCAGUAAGGUCAGGUGGAGUGAUGGAGCGUCUCAUCCAUGGCACUAGACCAUUUCCAGGAUGCUGCUGUGGACUCUCCAUCCUCACUGCACACAGCAUUCUCCAGACAUUUCAGAUCCUGCAAACAUGCACAAACACAAUAGAAAAGCAGUCAUUUUAACAGAACAAUGUCAUCUGAUUUCUGUAUAAGAAGUAACGAAAUGAGCUUACUUUGUAUUUUUAUUUCAGGGUUUCCUUUUUUUCACAAAUGCUGCUGUCACCUGCUCCACCACAAAAGCUCUGCAUCAAAU